ACAUACGACCAUACCCACUGGAACAUACGGGAUCCCGUCCGCUCUCCCCUAGUCAAACCAGUGAGGGCCGAACUAGUACUCAGGUGGGUGACCACUGGGGAAUCCUCGGUGUUGUAUGUUUUG
rnacentral:rRNA from 1 species